GGGUUGUGAGGUUAAGCGACUAAGCGUACACGGUGGAUGCCCUGGCAGUCAGAGGCGAUGAAGGACGUGCUAAUCUGCGAUAAGCGUCGGUAAGGUGAUAUGAACCGUUAUAACCGGCGAUUUCCGAAUGGGGAAACCCAGUGUGAUUCGUCACACUAUCAUUAACUGAAUCCAUAGGUUAAUGAGGCGAACCGGGGGAACUGAAACAUCUAAGUACCCCGAGGAAAAGAAAUCAACCGAGAUUCCCCCAGUAGCGGCGAGCGAACGGGGAGCAGCCCAGAGCCUGAAUCAGUGUGUGUGUUAGUGGAAGCGUCUGGAAAGGCGUGCGAUACAGGGUGACAGCCCCGUACACAAAAAUGCACAUACUGUGAGCUCGAUGAGUAGGGCGGGACACGUGGUAUCCUGUCUGAAUAUGGGGGGACCAUCCUCCAAGGCUAAAUACUCCUGACUGACCGAUAGUGAACCAGUACCGUGAGGGAAAGGCGAAAAGAACCCCGGCGAGGGGAGUGAAAAAGAACCUGAAACCGUGUACGUACAAGCAGUGGGAGCACGCUUAGGCGUGUGACUGCGUACCUUUUGUAUAAUGGGUCAGCGACUUAUAUUCUGUAGCAAGGUUAACCGAAUAGGGGAGCCGAAGGGAAACCGAGUCUUAACUGGGCGUUAAGUUGCAGGGUAUAGACCCGAAACCCGGUGAUCUAGCCAUGGGCAGGUUGAAGGUUGGGUAACACUAACUGGAGGACCGAACCGACUAAUGUUGAAAAAUUAGCGGAUGACUUGUGGCUGGGGGUGAAAGGCCAAUCAAACCGGGAGAUAGCUGGUUCUCCCCGAAAGCUAUUUAGGUAGCGCCUCGUGAAUUCAUCUCCGGGGGUAGAGCACUGUUUCGGCAAGGGGGUCAUCCCGACUUACCAACCCGAUGCAAACUGCGAAUACCGGAGAAUGUUAUCACGGGAGACACACGGCGGGUGCUAACGUCCGUCGUGAAGAGGGAAACAACCCAGACCGCCAGCUAAGGUCCCAAAGUCAUGGUUAAGUGGGAAACGAUGUGGGAAGGCCCAGACAGCCAGGAUGUUGGCUUAGAAGCAGCCAUCAUUUAAAGAAAGCGUAAUAGCUCACUGGUCGAGUCGGCCUGCGCGGAAGAUGUAACGGGGCUAAACCAUGCACCGAAGCUGCGGCAGCGACGCUUAUGCGUUGUUGGGUAGGGGAGCGUUCUGUAAGCCUGCGAAGGUGUGCUGUGAGGCAUGCUGGAGGUAUCAGAAGUGCGAAUGCUGACAUAAGUAACGAUAAAGCGGGUGAAAAGCCCGCUCGCCGGAAGACCAAGGGUUCCUGUCCAACGUUAAUCGGGGCAGGGUGAGUCGACCCCUAAGGCGAGGCCGAAAGGCGUAGUCGAUGGGAAACAGGUUAAUAUUCCUGUACUUGGUGUUACUGCGAAGGGGGGACGGAGAAGGCUAUGUUGGCCGGGCGACGGUUGUCCCGGUUUAAGCGUGUAGGCUGGUUUUCCAGGCAAAUCCGGAAAAUCAAGGCUGAGGCGUGAUGACGAGGCACUACGGUGCUGAAGCAACAAAUGCCCUGCUUCCAGGAAAAGCCUCUAAGCAUCAGGUAACAUCAAAUCGUACCCCAAACCGACACAGGUGGUCAGGUAGAGAAUACCAAGGCGCUUGAGAGAACUCGGGUGAAGGAACUAGGCAAAAUGGUGCCGUAACUUCGGGAGAAGGCACGCUGAUAUGUAGGUGAAGUCCCUCGCGGAUGGAGCUGAAAUCAGUCGAAGAUACCAGCUGGCUGCAACUGUUUAUUAAAAACACAGCACUGUGCAAACACGAAAGUGGACGUAUACGGUGUGACGCCUGCCCGGUGCCGGAAGGUUAAUUGAUGGGGUUAGCGCAAGCGAAGCUCUUGAUCGAAGCCCCGGUAAACGGCGGCCGUAACUAUAACGGUCCUAAGGUAGCGAAAUUCCUUGUCGGGUAAGUUCCGACCUGCACGAAUGGCGUAAUGAUGGCCAGGCUGUCUCCACCCGAGACUCAGUGAAAUUGAACUCGCUGUGAAGAUGCAGUGUACCCGCGGCAAGACGGAAAGACCCCGUGAACCUUUACUAUAGCUUGACACUGAACAUUGAGCCUUGAUGUGUAGGAUAGGUGGGAGGCUUUGAAGUGUGGACGCCAGUCUGCAUGGAGCCGACCUUGAAAUACCACCCUUUAAUGUUUGAUGUUCUAACGUGGACCCGUAAUCCGGGUUGCGGACAGUGUCUGGUGGGUAGUUUGACUGGGGCGGUCUCCUCCUAAAGAGUAACGGAGGAGCACGAAGGUUGGCUAAUCCUGGUCGGACAUCAGGAGGUUAGUGCAAUGGCAUAAGCCAGCUUGACUGCGAGCGUGACGGCGCGAGCAGGUGCGAAAGCAGGUCAUAGUGAUCCGGUGGUUCUGAAUGGAAGGGCCAUCGCUCAACGGAUAAAAGGUACUCCGGGGAUAACAGGCUGAUACCGCCCAAGAGUUCAUAUCGACGGCGGUGUUUGGCACCUCGAUGUCGGCUCAUCACAUCCUGGGGCUGAAGUAGGUCCCAAGGGUAUGGCUGUUCGCCAUUUAAAGUGGUACGCGAGCUGGGUUUAGAACGUCGUGAGACAGUUCGGUCCCUAUCUGCCGUGGGCGCUGGAGAACUGAGGGGGGCUGCUCCUAGUACGAGAGGACCGGAGUGGACGCAUCACUGGUGUUCGGGUUGUCAUGCCAAUGGCACUGCCCGGUAGCUAAAUGCGGAAGAGAUAAGUGCUGAAAGCAUCUAAGCACGAAACUUGCCCCGAGAUGAGUUCUCCCUGACUCCUUGAGAGUCCUGAAGGAACGUUGAAGACGACGACGUUGAUAGGCCGGGUGUGUAAGCGCAGCGAUGCGUUGAGCUAACCGGUACUAAUGAACCGUGAGGCUUAACCUUACAACGCCGAAG
rnacentral:rRNA from 1 species